CAGGAAAAUAAGCGAGUCAGCUUAAAAACACAGACCAGAUGUCUUGCCAUUGAACUGCUUCAAAGCGGCCGCCCUCAAUAAAGCGCUAGAUGCAGAGCAGAUCCACUACCACUACAGUAAUGAAAUGCGCAUGUCAACAAACUUGACCUCAGAGACGCAGGACAAGCAAGUUAGGACACAUUUUCAGUGACAGGGACAUAACAAACGUUGCCCUUUGAGUGCCUCUAUGCUUAAACUCUCUUGCUUUGGUGUGCCAUGCUUUCAGGUGUUAAACCACACAUAUGACAAACAUUAUGUGCUCACCUUCACACCCUAGAUGGAAAAGAAGAUACACACAUGUAAGUUUCAUCUUUCACUAAGUUGAUGAACGUCUUUAUAAAGCGCCGUCCUCUCUGCUUUGCUUGCAAAAGUGGAGAGGUUUGAGGCCUUUGUGCAGAUACUCGCUCAAGUCUCAUUCGGGUAAAGCGCGGGUGUAGCUGAGCAACGGCGGAGUGAGCAAAUGCUCGGCACUACGAGCAUGAUGUCCGCAUAAAAAGUGUUUUGAGAUGAGAGCGAGAUUAUGUAGCAGGCAGUCUCAUCUCAAAUGGUGCUGCUACAGCUGUAUACAAUUUAAAGUUUGGGCAAUCUCAAUGGCGAGUCGGGACGUGGCAAUGCAGAAUCCCUCGGACUGGACUGCAGAUUCAAAUUCAAAAUGCUAACUGUGUCGUGAUUGAUUGACAUAUCUGAGAUCAGACAUGUUUGCUCAAUGUAAUCAUUGGAUGAAGUGACGAGGAGGCAAAGGAAGGCCGCUGCCCCUCGCUGCAGCCCUUAGAAAGGAUCCUUUGUGCCACGCAGACCCCUGAGGGUGCCUGGUGGUUGAAGCUUUCCUUGACACAGUCUUCAGCCAGUCAGACCCUCACCUACCCGAGGACAGGAAGGCAAGAAUAACUCUGCCGAGGGGGCACAAAUUUCUAAAUCCAAAAACUGUGGUUGAGAUUGCUCAAAUCGCACAGGACCUGACGAGAGGAAGCUUUAGCUGGGCUAAGGACGUGUUUUUUGGGGGGAGGGCAAAAACAACAACAAGUGCUACAAUGUGCAUUCGCGCGAAUGGGACACCGGGAGCAUCUGUGAAUGUGGACCAGCAAGUCCCGCUUGACUUCGGGUUGCGCAGGACCUCCCUAUGAACUCUAAAGCGGCGUGUCCAAUCUGAACCACAAGGUGGCGCAGAGAGGCACACCGAGUGACGAGAGAAAGUUCAUCUCAACCUUUUAAGGUAUUUCAAAGACUGAAAAGUUUCUGUUGAAGAAACACAAAUCAUGCACAGUAUGAAUGACAUUCGUUUGCAGUUGAGUAACACACGAUUCAAUUUGGAGUUUCGAUUGGAUGCUAGUAGGAAUGUAGGGUGAAUAUAAUGUAUAUGAUGUGAUCAAUUAAAAUAAAACGUAUGCAUCAUGUAAUACUGGUCAGUCUAAUUUUAAGUUUUCAUUGACUGCUCUCAAGUUAGUCUCAAUCAAAUUGAGUUCCAGCUGCAGUUUACACUACUGGCCACACGAGGGCGCCCUUGCGUUUUUCCUACAAUUAAUCUUCACCCUCGGAUGUCUGGAUGGAACAUUAAGUACAACGCCCCAAUUAUUUUCUUCCCUUAACCUGAGGAGAAAAACUUUUGGAUGAAUUCUAACCAGACUAAAAGCUUUCACGACUACUUUCGACAUCUCGUUCAAAAGCCAAACUUUUCUUUUUUCUCUCUCUCAGCAGUGCAACUACUCCUAUGAUAAUUAUUGUAUCCUUGGAAAAAAAAAA